GAUAAGGAAGGAAAUUCAUCAGUCCAAACAAGGUGGUAUAUUUGGGCUGAUCUUUGCUGCUGAAUCAUUGGUUCAUCAACAUAUUAUACACAUACAAGGAUAUAUACAUAUGUUGUUGCAUCAAUGAUGCAGGAGCUGAGUUCAGUUUUGGCUACCUUUUCUUGGACUGAAGGGUUUCCUUCUCAACCCC
rnacentral:pre_miRNA from 1 species